rnacentral:rRNA from 1 species
GACGAACGCUGGCGGCGUGCUUAACACAUGCAAGUCGAACGGAAAGGCCCUGCUUUUGUGGUGUUCUCGAGUGGCGAACGGGUGAGUAACACGUGAGUAACCUGCCCUUGACUUUGGUAUAACUUCAGGAAACUGUGUCUAAUACCGGAUAGGAACUCCUGCUGCAUGGUGGGGGUUGGAAAGUUUCGGCGGUUGGGGAUGGACUCGCCGCUUAGCAUCUUGUUGGUGGGGUUGUGGUUUACCAAGGCUUUGACGGGUAGCCGGGCUGAGGGGGUGCGCGGCCACAUUGGGACGGAGAUGCGGCCCAGACUCCUACGGGAGGCAGCAGUGGGGAAUAGUGCAUAAUGGGAGGAAGCAUGAUGCAGCAACGCCGCGUGCGGGAUGACGGCCUUCGGGUUGUAAACCGCUUUCGCCGGUGACGAAGCGUGAGUGACGGUAAUGGGUAAAGAAGCACCGGCUAACUACGUG